rnacentral:tRNA from 1 species
GGGGGUGUAGCUCAGUUGGUAGAGCGCCUGCUUUGCAAGCAGGAUGUCGUGGGUUCGAUUCCUGUCACCUCCA